UACGGAGGGUGCAAGCGUUAAUCGGAAUUACUGGGCGUAAAGCGCACGCAGGCGGGCUGUUAAGUGAGAUGUGAAAUCCCCGGGCUUAACCUGGGAAUAGCCUUUCAGACUGGGAGUCUAGAGUGCUUUAGGGAGGGGCAGAAUUCCACGUGUAGCGGUGAAAUGCGUAGAGAUGUGGAGGAAUACCGAAUGCGAAGGCAGCCCCUUGGGAAUGCACUGACGCUCAUGUGCGAAAGCGUGGGGAGCAAACAGG
rnacentral:rRNA from 1 species